CUUGCUGUCCUAGAGCUUAACACACGCUGCAACUUCUUGUACAUCUUCCUUUGUGGACAUCGUCAUUCAUAAAAGUAAGGCUGAAAAGCUUCUGGGAAAUUAUCUUGUGUACUUCAGAAUAUAUUAUUAACACAAAGGAUUUAUGACGAGUAGCAGAAAAUAAUGGAGGACCUUAAAGCCAACGAGAACAAAAAGCACAACCAUGUCAGGUUUUCGGGCAAAUUAAUGUUUGCCAAAGACGCUUAUUUGCACAAGUAAAUGUGAGUAGUCCUUGGCACCUUCAAUUUUCUGCUUAGCCAUCUUUUGAGAAAA